rnacentral:rRNA from 1 species
AUACGUAGGGGGCGAGCGUUGUCCGGAAUUAUUGGGCGUAAAGGGCGUGUAGGCGGCUAUGCAAGUCGGCUGUGAAACCCCCCGGCUCAACUGGGGGCUUGCAGUUGAAACUGUGUAGCUUGAGUGCAGGAGAGGAGGGUGGAAUUCCUGGUGUAGCGGUGGAAUGCGUAGAUAUCAGGAGGAACACCGGUGGCGAAGGCGGCCUUCUGGCCUGUUACUGACGCUGAGGCGCGAAAGCCAGGGGAGCGAACAGGAUUAGAUACCCUGGUAGUCCUGGCUGUAAACGCUGGGUACUAGGUGUAGGUGGUUUAAUGCCAUCUGUGCCGUAGUUAACGCACUAAGUACCCCGCCUGGGGAGUACGGUCGCAAGGCUGAA